rnacentral:lncRNA from 1 species
UAAACUUAUUUUAAGAAAAGAUAAAAACGAAGUCAAAUCGGGUCGAGUAACCGUUAAGAACGGCAUAUAUAGCUAAGCCCGUAAGUUAGCUCCAUCUAUCCACCGCCAGGGCGGCCAGUUUGGUAGGGGGACUAAUCGAGACACGAACCGUCAAAAAGUGUAUUUCCUAAAGUCGCCGAUGGACGGAAAUGUGGCGCUGGUGUAAUCUAGGUAGCCGACCAUCGGGUAAAAGGCGGUCGAAAGUUUUAAUGCGAAUUAUCGGUGGUCCUAGCGCCAGUGGUAGGACAGCGGAGGAAGUUGGGAAAGACGGCUCGGCUCCGAAUGCGUCUGACGGGCAGCCCGAUGGGCCGAGUUGUUUUACGUUUUCGCCGAUCGACGCUGUUGGCAGUAGCUAACCCCUGACUAGCCGCCUAAAGACCCGCUAUGGGUUAGGCGUGCAAAUCCACCAUCGGCGAGUCG